ACCUAGGAAGUACAGUGGAAAGUUACUCAGGAAGAGGUUGCCGGCUAGGUCUGCGAGCUCUUCAGUGGCAUCAUCAAGAACAAGCACUGCACUAAGGUGUACUCCCUCAUGAGGCCGGUUGACCCGAUAAGAUAUUGGUUUCAUCAAUCAGCUUUCCUACUUUCAAUUUGCAUCUUCUCUAACUAUUCCUGUUGAUUGACCAGAGCCAUGAAUUUGAGUUUUUCUAUCCAACAUCACUUCCCGAAGGGGUUGACC
rnacentral:lncRNA from 1 species